AGGUUUCCGUAGGUGAUCCUGCGGAAGGAUCAUUAUUGAAAUAAACCUGAUGGGUUGCUGCUGGUUCUCUAGGGAGCAUGUGCACGCUUGUCAUCUUUAUAUCUCCACCUGUGCACCUUUUGUAGACCUGGAUCUUUUUCUGAAUGCCUAGCAUUUAGGUUUGGGGAUUGACUUUUUGUCUUUCCUUGCAUUUUCAGGCCUAUGUUUCUUCAUAUACCCAUGUAUGUUAUAGAAUGUAGUAAAUGGGCCUUUGUGCCUAUAAACCUAUACAACUUUCAGCAACGGAUCUCUUGGCUCUCGCAUCGAUGAAGAACGCAGCGAAAUGCGAUAAGUAAUGUGAAUUGCAGAAUUCAGUGAAUCAUCGAAUCUUUGAACGCACCUUACGCUCCUUGGUAUUCCGAGGAGCAUGCCUGUUUGAGUGUCAUUAAUAUAUCAGCCUCUUCAGCUUUUGCUUGUUGAGCGUUGGAUGUGGGGGUUUCUUUUGCUGGCCUCUUCUGAGGUCGGCUCCCCUGAAAUGCAUUAGCGAAACAUUCUGUUGACCGUUCAUUGGUGUGAUAACUAUCUACGCUAUUGACGUGAAGCAGGUUUGGCUUCUAACAGUCCAUUGACUUGGACAAUUUUUCAUUAAUGUGACCUCAAAUCAGGUAGGACUACCCGCUGAACUAAGC
rnacentral:rRNA from 1 species